rnacentral:rRNA from 1 species
UACGGGGGGGGCAAGCGUUGUUCGGAAUUACUGGGCGUAAAGGGCUCGUAGGCGGCCAACUAAGUCAGACGUGAAAUCCCUCGGCUUAACCGGGGAACUGCAUCUGAUACUGGAUGGCUUGAGUUCGGGAGAGGGAUGCGGAAUUCCAGGUGUAGCGGUGAAAUGCGUAGAUAUCUGGAGGAACACCGGUGGCGAAGGCGGCAUCCUGGACCGGCACUGACGCUGAGGAGCGAAAGCAUGGGUAGCGAACAGG